rnacentral:rRNA from 1 species
AGGAUGAACGCUGGCGGCGUGCCUAAGACAUGCAAGUCGAGUGGGUUUAGGCCCACGGCGAACGGGUGAGUAAUACCUAGGAACUUUUUUCAAGUCGAGGAUAUCCUUCCGAAAGGAAGUGCAAUACUUGAUGUGGCAGCAAUGCUAAAGGAGCAAUCCGCUUGAAGCGAGGCCUGGGCACCAUCAGCUAGUUGGUAAGGUAAUGGCUUACCAAGGCUUUGACGGUUAGCGGAUCUGAGAGGAUGGCCCGCCACACUGGGACUGCGACACGGCCCAGACUCCUACGGGAGGCAGCAGUUUGGAAUUUGGCAAUGGGGGAAACCCUGAACCAGCGACGCCGCGUGGACGAAGAGGCCUUCGGGUCGUAAGUCCUUUAGCAGGGAAAAUUUUGAUUGUACCUGCAGAAUAAGAGGUUGCUAACUCUGCGCCAGCAGCCGC